rnacentral:SRP_RNA from 1 species
GCUGGCCAUGGUGGCGCGUGCCUGUAAUCCCAGCUACUCAGGAGGCUGAGGCAGGAGAAUUGCUUGAACCCAGGAGGCGGAGGUUGCGGUGAGCCGAGAUCACGCGAUUGCACUNNNNNNNNNNCCACAAUUAGUUCGGCAUCAAUAUGGUGACCUCCCAGGAGCGGGAGACACAAGGUUGCUUAAGAAGGGAUGAACCGACCCAGGUCGGAAACGAAGUGGUCAAAACUCCCGUGCUGAUCAGUAGUGGGAUCAAGCCUGUGAAUAGCCACUGCACUCCAGCCUGGGCAACAUAGUGAGAUCCCGUCUCAA